AAGUUAAAAAAAGAAAAAAGAAAAAGGAGUCUUCAUCUCUUUCAUUAGUUCUUCCACCGAAAAACCAAGCUAAAAACACCAUAGUUAAGCUUCACAUUCGGCAAAGCUAGGUUUUGUGCAUAAUUACAACAACCAGAUGAUGUAUGAUGAAAAAGAAAAAUUGACGAUUAGUCCCUGCUAAUUAAACCACUACGAUUUUGUCAGAUUUUGGACAUUUGGAACAUGUCAAUCGGAUCAGCAAGAAGCUCACACCUACCGUCUCUCGAUUCAAUAGACUUUUGAUGUUUCAUUUUGGUUACUUGUGGCAUGUACUUAGUUUGGAUGUUUGGUAUAUGCUAAGUUUGGUAUUUUGAAUGACAUUAUACAUAUGUUUUAGAUGGUGGCAUGAAAUGGCUAUAAUUUUUUAUUGUGUUAAGCAAAUGCUUAUGUUUGGUAUGGUUGAGUUGUGAUAUGAAAUGGUUGAGACAUGAAUUGUGUUUAAUAAAUUGUUGAUGCCAAUUAAGGUA